GCCGGGUGCGUGUAGUACUUGUAGAGGAAGGAGAAGGCGGCGGAGGCGAGGGUGUAGAAGGUGGCCGUGGCCAGCAGCACAGCCAGGUGUGCGCGAAGGCGGUGAUCAGCACCAGCUGGAUGAGAAUGAAGGCGAAGCCCCCGCAGACGCCAGUGUAGUGCCAGGCUGGGGGCAGAGGGCAGAGCUGGGCUAGCCCAGGGCCCACAGUCAGGGCACAGGCUGUCAGCUUGGGCGCAGCGCAGGACACACCUUGGAUGAAGCCGUCCUCAGGGAUGAAGAAGCUGGCGGCACA